CCUACGGGAGGCAGCAGUGAGGAAUAUUGGUCAAUGGACGAGAGUCUGAACCAGCCAAGUAGCGUGAAGGAUGACUGCCCUAUGGGUUGUAAACUUCUUUUAUAUGGGAAUAAAACUAAGCACGUGUGCCGUUUUGUAUGUACUUUAUGAAUAAGGAUCGGCUAACUCCGUGCCAGCAGCCGCGGUAAUACGGAGGAUCCGAGCGUUAUCCGGAUUUAUUGGGUUUAAAGGGAGCGUAGAUGGAUGGUUAAGUCAGUUGUGAAAGUUUGCGGCUCAACCGUAAAAUUGCAGUUGAUACUGGGUGUCUUGAGUACAGCAGAGGUAGGCGGAAUUCGUGGUGUAGCGGUGAAAUGCUUAGAUAUCACGAAGAACCCCGAUUGCGAAGGCAGCUUACUAGACUGUGACUGACACUGAUGCUCGAAAGUGUGGGUAUCAAACAGGAUUAGAUACCCGAGUAGUC
rnacentral:rRNA from 1 species